CCUACGGGGGGCUGCAGUCGAGGAUCUUCGGCAAUGAGCGCAAGCUUGACCGAGCGACGCCGCGUGAGCGAUGAAGGCCUUCGGGUUGUAAAGCUCUUUAGUGGGGGAGAAAAGCCCGCGAGGGUGUGAUCUAUCCCAAAAAUAAGCACGGGCUAAGUUCGUGCCAGCAGCCGCGGUAAGACGAACCGUGCGAACGUUAUUCGGAAUCACUGGGCUUAAAGGGAGCGUAGGCGGGCUAUCAAGUCUGGGGUGAAAUCCCGCGGCUCAACCGUGGA
rnacentral:rRNA from 1 species